UUCUCUUAGAAUAUGGUUCAAUUUCAACUUUCACUUUUUUUUUCUACUCUAGAGAAAUCAAUUCAUGAUUUCUUCUAGCAAUUCUAUGAAUAAAGAUAAGCUACAAGAUUAUUUCUCCUUUCAUACUUUAAAAAAUAAAGUAAUCUCUACACCCAACAUGGUGUUUGAACUCAGGACCUGGAGAUCAGGAGUCCCAUGUUCUUCCAACUGAGCCAACCAGGUAUCUCAGUAAUUUUUUUUCUUAAGUGGCAUAAUUUGAAUAACCAAUAUAUUA
rnacentral:lncRNA from 12 species